rnacentral:RNase_P_RNA from 1 species
CCAGGGGGCCGGGCAGCCGCGUUGUCAUAUGACACCGAGGAAAGUCCGGGCUCCACGAAACAAGGGUGGCGGGUAACGCCCGCCGGGCUGGAAGCGUAAACUGAAGGUCAAGGGAAAGUGCCACAGAGAGCAGACCGCCUGAUGGUCGCAAGACCGGACGGUAAGGGUGAAAGGGUGCGGUAAAAGCGCACCGCGCGACCGGCAACGGAAGCGGCACGGCAAACCCCACCCGGAGCAAGAUCGAAUAGGGACUGCGCGCCCAGCAAUGGGCAGGCCUGUUUCGGGCCAGCAGUCCGGGUUGAUUGCUUGAGCGUUCCGGCAACGGUCCGCCUAGAGGAAUGGCUGCCAGCGGCGAUACGGUCCUGUAUGGGAUACCGUCGGCGCUACAGAACCCGGCUUACAGGCCCCCUGGCGCA